GGUUUCCGUAGGUGAACCUGCGGAAGGAUCAUUAUUGAAUAAGCUUGGUUGGGUUGUUGCUGGCUCUUCGGAGCAUGUGCACGCCUAACACCAACCUUUUACCACCUGUGCACCUUUUGUAGACCUGGAUAUCUCUCGAGGAAACUCGGUUUUGAGGACUGCUGUGCGCAAGCCGGCUUUUCCUUACACUUCCGGUCUAUGUUUUACACACCCCAGUAUGUUUAAGAAUGUUAUCAAUGGGCUUAAUUGCCUUUAAACCUUAUACAACUUUCAACAACGGAUCUCUUGGCUCUCGCAUCGAUGAAGAACGCAGCGAAAUGCGAUAAGUAAUGUGAAUUGCAGAAUUCAGUGAAUCAUCGAAUCUUUGAACGCACCUUGCGCUCCUUGGUAUUCCGAGGAGCAUGCCUGUUUGAGUGUCAUGAAAUUCUCAACCUUAUCAGCUUUUUUGUUGACUAGGCUUGGAUGUGGGAGUUUGCGGGCUUCUCAGAAGUCGGCUCUCCUUAAAUGCAUUAGCGGGACCCUUGUUGCCUAGCUUUGGUGUGAUAAUUAUCUACGCCAUUGUCUUAUACAUGGGGUACAGCUUCUAACCGUCUCUCUAGGGACAACUUCUGACAAUUUGACCUCAAAUCAGGUAGGACUACCCGC
rnacentral:rRNA from 1 species